GGGGGAUUAGCUCAGCUGGGAGAGCGCGUGACUGGCAGUCACGAGGUCGACGGUUCGAUCCCGUUAUCCUCCACCA
rnacentral:tRNA from 1 species